rnacentral:rRNA from 1 species
GACGAACGCUGGCGGCGUGCUUAACACAUGCAAGUCGAGCGAGACCCAUCUUUCGGGGUGGUGUUCUAGCGGCGAACGGGUGAGUAACACGUGGGCAACCUGCCCUCAGCUCUGGGAUAACUCCAAGAAAUUGGGGCUAAUACCGGAUAUGACCGCUGACCGCAUGGUCUGGUGGUGGAAAGAUUUAUCGGCUGGGGAUGGGCCCGCGGCCUAUCAGCUUGUUGGGNGGGUAGGUGGCCUACCAAGGCGACGACGGGUAGCCGGCCUGAGAGGGUGACCGGCCACACUGGGACUGAGACACGGCCCAGACUCCUACGGGAGGCAGCAGUGGGGAAUAUUGCGCAAUGGGCGGAAGCCUGACGCAGCGACGCCGC